GCUAAAGCAAAUUUUCACUUGCAGCUUGGAGAAACUGAUCUGUAGACCUAAUCUCAGCCAGCUCAAGGGCUUACAUUUCUAUGCCUGUGCUGAGGUUAACCUCAAAAAGUAAAAUGUGCCAACAGUGCUAAUGACAGUUUUGGGAAGGAGAUCAGUUGCAAAUACAGUAAUUUGAGAAACGUAAUGAAGAAUGGAUAUCUUGUCAUGGGCUUCUGGGGAGAUACAGAGGGCAUUGCAGCAGGAGAAACACAUCUACCAUCAGACCUCCGGCCAUCCCACCACCUCUUUGCAACAUCAUGCCUUCAGGCUAUCUGUCAGCCAGGCUAAGAAUCCGGUAAACAAGAGCACAGAUCAAAAAACAACAUUGUGACCUAUUUAAUGGGAAAAAGACUAUGUCAACAC
rnacentral:lncRNA from 1 species